GUUAAUGUAGCAGAACCCGGCACUGCAGAAGACCUAAGCCCUUUUUAUAGAGGUUCAAAUCCUCUCAUUAACU
rnacentral:tRNA from 1 species